rnacentral:snRNA from 1 species
AUUCAUAACUGGCAGGGGAGAUACCAUUAUUGUAAAAGUGUUUUCCCAGGGUAAGGCUCAUCUAUUGCACUUUGGGUGUGCUGUCCCCUGUGAUUUCACAAGAAUGAUUUUACUAGCAGCAGCAAUUCUAAGAAUUAAAGACUUUCC